rnacentral:rRNA from 1 species
UACGUAGGGGGCAAGCGUUGUCCGGAUUCAUUGGGCGUAAAGAGCGUGUAGGUGGCGACGUAAGUCGGGUGUGAAAGCCCCGGGCUCAACCUGGGAAUUGCAUUCGAGACUGCAUUGCUGGAGUACGGAAGAGGAGGGCGGAAUUCCCGGUGUAGCGGUGAAAUGCGUAGAUAUCGGGAGGAACAUCAGUGGCGAAGGCGGCCCUCUGGUCCAGUACUGACACUCAAGUGCGAAAGCGUGGGGAGCAAACAGG